UGCAACCCGACUCCGUGAAGCUGGAUUCGCUAGUAAUCGCGCAUCAGCCAUGGCGCGGUGAAUACGUUCCCGGGCCUUGUACACACCGCCCGUCAAGCCAUGGAAGCCGGGGCGCUUGAAGUGCGUUGCCGCAAGGCGCGCCCUAGAGCGAAACCGGUGACUGGGGCUAAGUCGUAACAAGGUAAC
rnacentral:rRNA from 1 species